rnacentral:rRNA from 1 species
UACGUAGGGGGCAAGCGUUGUCCGGAAUUAUUGGGCGUAAAGAGCGCGUAGGCGGUCCGAUAAGUCGGCUGUGAAAGUCCAGGGCUCAACCCUGGAAUGCCAGUGGAAACUGUCGAGCUAGAGUCCGGAAGAGGCGAGUGGAAUUCCUGGUGUAGCGGUGAAAUGCGUAGAUAUCUGGAGGAACACCGGUGGCGAAGGCGGCAUCCUGGACCGACACUGACGCUGAGGCGCGAAAGCUAGGGUAGCAAACGGG